UCCUUGGUGGUCCAGUGGUUAGGACUCUGUGCUUCCAAUGCCAAGUGUUUGGGUUCGAUCCCUGGUCAGGGAA
rnacentral:tRNA from 1 species